rnacentral:rRNA from 1 species
UACGAAGGGGGCGAGCGUUGUUCGGAUUUACUGGGCGUAAAGGGCGCGCAGGCGGCCCUCCAAGUCAGGCGUGAAAGCCCCGGGCUCAACCUGGGAACAGCGCCUGGGACUGGGGGGCUGGAGAUCGGGAGAGGAGCGUGGAAUUCCCAGUGUAGAGGUGAAAUUCGUAGAUAUUGGGAAGAACACCGGUGGCGAAGGCGGCGCUCUGGACCGAUACUGACGCUGAGGCGCGAAAGCGUGGGGAGCAAACAGG